rnacentral:rRNA from 1 species
CCUACGGGUGGCAGCAGUGAGGAAUAUUGCACAAUGGCCGUAAGGCUGAACCAGCCAAGCCGCGUGAGGGAAGACUGCUCUAUGGGCUGUAAACUCCUUUUAUGCGGGGGUAAAGGACUCUACGUGUGUAUGUAUGCACGUCUCGCUUGAUUACGGCCGGGCUAAUUCCGCGCCAGCAGCCGCGGUAAUACGGAGGGUCCGGGCGUUAUCCGGAUUUAUUGGGUUUAAGGGGUGCGUAGGCGGGUCGCUAAGCUUGACGUGAAAUCUCGUGGCUCAACCAUGGAAGUGCAGCGCAAACUGGGGAGCUGGAGUGCAGGGGAGGCAGGCGGAAUUCGUGGUGUAGCGGUGAAAUGCGUAGAUAUCACGAAGAACCCCGAUGGCGAAGGCAGCUUACCGAAGUGUUACUGACGCUGAGGCUCGAAAGCGUGGGGAGCAAACAGGAUUAGAUACCCUGGUAGUC